rnacentral:misc_RNA from 1 species
AACUUUUAGCAAUGGAUCUCUUGGCUCUCGCAUCGAUGAAGAACGCAGCGAAAGGCGAUAAGUAAUGUGAAUUUCAGAAUUCAGUGAAUCAUCGAAUCUUUGAACGCACCUUGCACCCUUUGGAAUUCCGAAGGGUAUGCUCGUUUGAGUGGCAUUGUACUCUUACACGCCUCUGAUCCUUUGGACUCGGGGAGCGGUGGACUUGGGUGUUUGCUGCUUUCCUUGUGGCUCACCUUAAAUGCGUCAGUGCACCUCUUGGUUGGACAUAGUACGGCGUGAUAAGUGUCUUCGCCGGCACCUCGCAAGAGGGUGGCCGAUCGAGAGCUCUGUGCUUUCAAACCGUCUUCGGACACUUUCUGACAACUUGACCUCAAAUCGAGUAGGACUACCCGCUGAACUUAAGCAUAUCAAUAAGCGGAGGAU